rnacentral:rRNA from 1 species
GUGGGGAAUAUUGGACAAUGGGGGGAACCCUGAUCCAGCCAUGCCGCGUGUGUGAAGAAGGCCUUUUGGUUGUAAAGCACUUUAAGCGAGGAGGAGGCUACCGAGAUUAAUACUCUUGGAUAGUGGACGUUACUCGCAGAAUAAGCACCGGCUAACUCUGUGCCAGCAGCCGCGGUAAUACAGAGGGUGCAAGCGUUAAUCGGAUUUACUGGGCGUAAAGCGCGCGUAGGUGGCCAAUUAAGUCAAAUGUGAAAUCCCCGAGCUUAACUUGGGAAUUGCAUUCGAGACUGGUUGGCUAGAGUAUGGGAGAGGAUGGUAGAAUUCCAGGUGUAGCGGUGAAAUGCGUAGAGAUCUGGAGGAAUACCGAUGGCGAAGGCAGCCAUCUGGCCUAAUACUGACACUGAGGUGCGAAAGCAUGGGGAGCAAACAGGAUUAGAAACCCUGGUAGUCC